UGGGGAAUAUUGCACAAUGGGGGAAACCCUGAUGCAGCAACGCCGCGUGAAGGAAGAAGGUUUUCGGAUCGUAAACUUCUAUCAACAGGGACGAAACAAAUGACGGUACCUGAAUAAGAAGCCCCGGCUAACUACGUGCCAGCAGCCGCGGUAAUACGUAGGGGGCAAGCGUUAUCCGGAAUUACUGGGUGUAAAGGGAGCGUAGGCGGCACGUCAAGCCAGAUGUGAAAGCCCGGGGCUUAACCCCGUGGAUUGCAUUUGGAACUGGCGAGCUAGAGUACAGGAGAGGAAAGCGGAAUUCCUAGUGUAGCGGUGAAAUGCGUAGAUAUUAGGAAGAACACCAGUGGCGAAGGCGGCUUUCUGGACUGAAACUGACGCUGAGGCUCGAAAGCGUGGGGAGCAAACAGGAUUAGAUACC
rnacentral:rRNA from 1 species